GAAAUAUAGGCUAAACAUGUAAACCAUGGGCCUUCAAAGCCCAAAUUGUGAACAAAUCACUAUUUCUGCCUAAGACUUG
rnacentral:tRNA from 1 species